ensembl:lncRNA
ACUCUCUACUGUGAUGUCACACAUCAAUUCCAGACUCGCCUCUCUACUGUGAUGUCAAAUAUCAAUACCAGACUCGUCUCUCUACUGUGAUGUCACACAUCAAUUCCAGGUUCGUGUCUCUGCUGUGAUGUCAAAUAUCAAUGCCAGAGUAGAUUCUCUAAGGUGAUGUCAAAAAUCAAUGCCAGACUUGCGUCUCUCUGCUGUGAUGUCAAAUAGCUCACACGGGGUGUGUCUGAUGUGAAGUAUGAGUGAUCGCCGAUCACAGGGCGUGUCUCUGGCGUGACUUAUCAGCAAUCGCCGCUCGCCGGGCGUGUCUGUCGCGUGACGUAUUAGCUAUCGCCAAUGUCAGUGCGUGACUGUUUUGUGACUUAUCAGCAAUCGCCGCUCGCCGGGCGUGUCUGUCACGUGACGUAUUAGCUAUCGCCAAUGUCAGGGCGUGACUGUUUUGUGACUUAUCAGCAAUCGCUGCUCGCCGGG